AUAAAAAUAGAAAUGGAAUAUUUAUAUUGUUUGUAUGUUAUUAUUAUUUAAUUUCUACAAAAUGGUAAUGUGUUGGGUACCCGAAUGGUUAUCAUUGAUAUUGAAAUCUGCAGAACGGAGUAAAACUACUCAUUUAUGUUCCUGGUUCCUGCUACUUUUAUAAAGGAGAUAAAGAAAAUCUUCUCACCAUAUUUUCAAAUAGGACUGGUGAAGAUGCUGAAGAAAUGCAGUAGUACUAUCUUGUGUGUAAAUCCUUGAUUUUGUGUAAUUUAUAAAAUUGAAAGCAAUAUGAUAAAUAUGACUAAUAAGGAUUGUGUCUUUAUAAAAAAAAUAUAUCACAGGUACAAUUAUAAUGUAUUAUGGUCUUUUUUGAUAACUAUAAAAUAUUAUUUGUUUUCUUUUAGUAUGCAAACUACAAGUACGAGCAUUAAAUCUCAGAAAUGUUUACCCCUGUUUUUUUUUGGUUUUAUUCCAUGGAUUUAAUGGAUUGUAGAUGUAGACCCUCUACAUCUUCAUUACCACUUGAAAGCCAACCAGAAUCAUCUCAUUCAAGUGGUAUCACAUCAAGUAGUGCACAACAAGACACAGAAAUGUAUUUUCUUAAAUAAGAGAAUACUCAGCUGAAACUAAAAUUAGAUAAUUUGUCAAAUAUAGAUUUCCAUCCCAGCAUAUCAAGAAUGAUCACAAUUUAGUGAAAGUGUACAUGGGAAUAACAACUACUGUAUAUUGAAAUAUUGUUUAAUAUUUAAUAUGCUAAGUAAUAUUCAGUUAGAAUAUUAUCAUGGAUCAUGGAUGGGUGAAAUAUCACAGUUUUAACAAAAAAAGGAAUGUGUUGUAUUUUGUACGCACCUUAGAAGUUAUACUUCUAUUAUAUGAUUUCAAUGAAAUAAACAUAUUUUAAACAGUU